CUAAGAGCCCCAGCUCUAGUUUCCAGAAACAGGACUAGAAGACAUCAGAUCCUGCCUGGGUCCUGAGAUGAACUUCAGGCUCUUCUGUGUUACCUUGAGUCUCCUGUGUGCAAAACACAUGGAGGCUGCAGUCACCCAAAGCCCAAGAAGCAAGGUGACAGUAACAGGAGGAAAGGUGGAACUAAGCUGUCACCAGACGGAUAACCACAACAAUAUGUACUGGUAUCGGCAGGACCUGGGUCAUGGACUGAGGCUCAUCUAUUAUUCAUAUCGUGAUGGCAGCACAGAGAAAGGAGAUGUCCCUGAUGGGUACAAGGUCAUCAGAGCAAGGACAGAGACCUUCUCUCUCAUUCUGGAGAAAACUUCCCUUUCUCAGACAUCUGUGUACUUCUGUGCCAGCAGUGAUACACAUCAGUGUGUGGCUGCCUCCUCUCUGCACAGAAAGUAAACUAGGAAGUCAAGUUGACUAUGUGCCCCAGGAAGUCCCU